CCGAUAUUUUAUUUCUAUAAAAAUUCCCAGCUCGUAUUUUAAUAUCCCAAGGGAUUACUGCAAGUACCGGUGUGACGUCGAUGGAGGAUUUUCAAAGAAAAGGUCUAGUUAGAAUAUUGGUUUUAGGACUCGCUGAAUUGGAAAAUUAGAAUAGUGAAUCUUUGUUGUAUAACGAGAAAAUAUCAAUCGUGUCGAUAUGAUAUAUCGCGAGUAAGACUGUAAGAGUAGAAAAAGAUAAUAAUAAAAGUAAAAGAAACAAAAAAGGACGGACAUACUUCGCACGUGGGUGAGUUCAAACAUCACUGUUUGAAGAUGAGAAGUUGGAAAGGUAGUAGAGCGGAAAUUUAAAUGUAUAUCUGUA